rnacentral:pre_miRNA from 1 species
AGUGGAAUUGCUGGUUGUAUGGUAACUCUACGUUUAACUUUUUGAGGAACUGCCAGACUGUUUUCCAAAGUGGUUGUACCAUUUUACAUUCCCUCCAGCAGU